UAUCUAUUCAGUUCCUUAUCAACUGGUUAUCUUAGUCCAUUUUCUUAAGCCACUGGUCAGUUUAGUGGAGCAAAAAUCAGCUUGGCUAGUUGAUUGGCAUUGUUAGAUCUUAAUUAUACUUUUUCAUUUUUUAAACCAUUGUGCUGUUGUGUCCAUACAACUUUAGUUAAAGAUUCAAUUUCCCAGUUGGUAAUACAUCUACCAAGAUGGUUGAAUCAUAUCAAAUCUCAGCAGAGCUGAUAUGCUGGAACACCCAUUUCUGUGAGGGAUAUCAUAGAGUUAUAUGCAUAGUCAACAGGUAAUUUAUGAACUCUAAGGCCAAAUCUUCCAGUGCAAAAGCUAAUAUGUUCCAUUUUGGUGAAGGAUGUCUCUAUUUCAUUUUCUAUGGAUUCCUCAUCAAAAUCACCCUAUACAUCAAACAGGAGUGCAGUGAGAAACCCUUGGAACAGGAUUCAAUCAUGUUGAUUUAGUCAACAACUUCCCCAGGGCUAAUGCAGUUAGAGUAAUCAUAUAAAUCAAAACACCUAAUUCUUCUUAUAUAGAAUGUCAAAGACUUUUCUACAUUGUGUUCAAUGUAGUUGGUGCAAAUGAUAAAGAAGGCAAAAUGCAAGAUUUCAAGAGAGAUGUUAGGAGGAAUUCUAAAUAUUUUCAUAACAAUGCAUUUUCUUUGGCGUUGCUGUUGCCUCCAGCUAGUUCCUCAAAAGGUGAGCAGUUUCUGAAGUGAUCAAACUUGGGUUGUUAUAAUAAAAGUAGUUACCGUUCAAGAGAUACAUCUGAAUUGGAUGUAUACCAGACUUUACAAUGACACUGUCCUUCCAAAGGGAAGGACGUCUACAACAGGCUUGGAAAAGACAAACAGAUAUCUCUAUUACUUCUUGUGCAUUUUGAAUGACUCUUUCAAUAGAACCAUGCUUCUUAUGUAGUUCUGUCCUUACAAUUGAAAAAAAUAAGACUCAUUCAAGUCUUCCUCUCUAGGCGCUCAAGACACAGCAUGGUAUCAUUUGGAAGCCAGUUGGGAGCAUCAUGUCUUCACCCAAGCCCCUGAUAUAGAAGUCAACUUCCCUCAUCCCACGGAGACUCAUCUUAUUGGCUCCUGCUGCCCAAACUGGUAGUCCUCAGCUCCAAUUUCCCUUUGUAGAUUAAGAUGUGAUAACUGAAGGUGCAGCAGCUAUUUUGGAAACAUGAAGCAAUAAGCACGAGGAUGGAGGCCUAAAAUACAAGGCUCGUGCGGCAGAAAGAAGAGCAGAGCUGGAGCCCUGCUUCUAGGCUGAAUAACUCCUUUUUGGAAUAGAACCCAUCAGCCUGCUGAAGGCAGUGAAUAUGAAACCCCAGUCCUCCAGUCAGCCAGCCUAGAGCCUUCUCAGUCAUUGAUUUACUUCAUUUCCUGACAUGAGGGGGCACCUGAAAUUGGGCACCCUGCUUCAGCUGAGGUGAGUGGAAGAGGGCAUCUAUUGUCUCCUCUGCUUCUCAGCUCAUGAAUUCUACUGCUCACUCCCUCUUCAGAAGUCAGGUGGCCUCUUCUCUGGGGAGCAUCCCUCCCUUACACACUUUGCAAAGUGCUAAGCUAACUCGAAGCGCUCAAAAAUCAGGAGCAAAUCCAUUUGCUAGACCCAGGCAAAUGGACAGGCAGGUUGGGGCUCUUGUUUACGAAUCAGGCAAAAUAUGGAGCUGAACCAUCCAAGUGUGGUUGCCGUUUGUCACUGAGCACUCUUCUUAUUUGAUGGAAAUGUUACAUUGUUGGGGGGUAUUAGAGAGAGGCAGGUCCCAGAGACCCUUGAUAAAACCAAAAAAAGGGGCAGAUACAUCUUAUUCUUUACUCUUUAUUUGCUUGGAAAAUAAGAUGUUUGUUUUAAGAUUUGGAAUUUUCAGAGUCAUGCAAGGAUGCAGGGUCCGCUGGAGGUUAGUUGCAGCAGGCAGAACCGUGUGGCAUUGGCCGUGCUGGAGAUGACCUCAUAACACCCUGCGUGGGAACUUGGCUGUGCUCAUGGCUGCCCAGCCUCCCAUUCUCUGCCUGUUUUCAAAGCCUAAAUCUUCAGUCUUGCAAACAAUUCAAAAAGUGUGCACAUCAUUUCAAUAUGCCCCCUUUGGUACAGCCUACAACCUUAUCUGACACACCAAAGAAAAAUUAAAUUCCCUCCUCCCUCCCACCCCAGUCCUCUAGAGCAAAAUCAUGAGAAACUGGCCUGCUGUUCCAUUUCAGUCAUCAUCUUACCUGAGAUGGACACCGUUUCAUUUCUCAUGUGAUAGGAAUGUCACUAAUCCUCCAGCCCCAUCAUGAUCUGAAUUAAAUGCAGGUUUGUUUUCUUUAAUGCAUUUGAGGGAGGAGUUUGAAGGAGGUGACCAGUUACUGAUGUUUUUACCACACAAGUAAUACAUGAACGCAUUCUUCUCAUGGAAGAUUCCAACAAGGCAGGAAUAUUCAGGGGAAAACAUGAUAGAGUCCUCCACUGCAGGCCCCCAUCACUCUUGCUUUACUCCAAGGGGCAAGCACUAUGAACACUGUUUUGCAUUU